UACGAAGGGGGCUAGCGUUGCUCGGAAUGACUGGGCGUAAAGGGCGCGUAGGCGGCUUGUACAGUCAGAUGUGAAAUUCCUGGGCUCAACCUGGGGGGCUGCAUUUGAUACGUAUGGGCUUGAGUGGGGAAGAGGGUCGUGGAAUUCCCAGUGUAGAGGUGAAAUUCGUAGAUAUUGGGAAGAACACCGGUGGCGAAGGCGGCGACCUGGUCCUUUUACUGACGCUGAGGCGCGAAAGCGUGGGGAGCAAACAGG
rnacentral:rRNA from 1 species